CUGAAUUACUCACCAUACUUACUGUCAUUCAGCAUUAGCUGUGCUGUUUUGGCUCUGUUGAAGCAAUAUCAUUUGCAACUCGAGAAGGAUCAAACACCCAGGAAAAAGGUUAUUUCCCCCAGGAUUUGAGGAGAUUUCUUCAUGUGAAAGACAGAGAUAGAAUUGGAAAGAAAUGACUUCAUUGUCUAGUGAAGAAGCUGCAUAGAAGAGAAAGGAGCCUUGUGAAGUAUUCCUUCCACAUUCUCCUCACAGAGCCACCCUGAAUGGAGACUACCUUAGACGGAGACAGGUUUUAUAGGAAAAGACACAGAGCUUGAAAGUCAGGAUAUAUGCUUGUUUGACCAGCAUUAUCAACUGCGAUGCUCCCAUUCAGUAUCCAGGAUUUAGUGGUCUUGCUGUAGACAUUUGAUAUAUCCAGACAGUACCUCCUGCCCAUGAAGAACCAGACUGAGCCAGGUACCACCAAGCUAAG